AGCUUAUUGUAUUCUAUAUUAAGUGAAUUCUGCUCAAUGAAUUUUUUAAAUAGCCGCAGUACCUUGACUGUGCUAAGGUAGCAUAAUAAAUUGUCUUAUAAUUGAAGUCUGGAAUGAAUGGAAUUUUGGAAUAAAUUCUAUCUAAUUUAAAUUAAAUUUAACUUUUUUAAUAAGUGAAAAUACUUAUAUAUUUAUGAAAGACGAGAAGACCCUAGAAAUUUUUAUUAAUUAUAAUAGUUUAUAUAAUAAUUAUAAUUAUUUUUGUUGGGGCGACAGAAUUACAAAAUUAACUUAUUUAUAUAUAUAAAUAUAUGAAGAAUAUUUUAAGUAAAGGUAAAUUACUCUAGGGAUAACAGCAUAAUUUAUUAAUAAGUUUGUGACCUCGAUGUUGGAUUAAGAUAUAUAGUUACUAAAAGUAAUUAUUAUUGGUUCUGUUCGAACUUAAUUUCUUACAUG
rnacentral:rRNA from 1 species